rnacentral:rRNA from 1 species
GACGAACGCUGGCGGCGUGCCUAAUACAUGCAAGUCGAGCGGACGAAUCGAAAGCUUGCUUUUGAUUCGUUAGCGGCGGACGGGUGAGUAACACGUGGGCAACCUGCCCUGUAGACGGGGAUAACACCGAGAAAUCGGUGCUAAUACCGGAUAACACGAAAUGUCGCAUGACGUUUCGUUGAAAGACGGCGCAAGCUGCCGCUACAGGAUGGGCCCGCGGCGCAUUAGCUAGUUGGUGAGGUAACGGCUCACCAAGGCGACGAUACGUAGCCGACCUGAGAGGGUGAUCGGCCACACUGGGACUGGGACACGGCCCAGACUCCUACGGGAGGCAGCAGUAGGGAAUCUUCCGCAAUGGACGAAAGUCUGACGGAGCAACGCCGCGUGAGCGAAGAAGGCCUUCGGGUCGUAAAGCUCUGUUGUUAGGGAAGAACAAGUAACGCAGUAACUGGCGUUACCGUGACGGUACCUAACGAGAAAGCCACGGCUAACUACGUG